ACUUUUUGUAAGAGAGUCCGAGCCAACGAUAGAGAUUACAAUGAGAAGUUCCAGUAUGCUAGCAACUGCAUCAUGACCUCAAAGUACAACAUCAUUACCUUCCUUGCAGUCAACCUGUUUGAGCAGUUCCAGGAAGUUGCCAAUACCUACUUCCUGUUUCUCCUCAUACUGCAGUUGAUUCCACAGAUUUCCUCAUUAUCCUGGUUCACCACCAUUGUGCCUUUAGUGCUGGUGCUGAGCAUCACUGCAGUCAAAGAUGCCACCGAUGACUAUUUUCGUCACAAGAGUGACAACCAGGUGAAUAACCGUCAGUCUCAGGUACUCAUCGGUGGCAUUCUUCAGAAGGAGAAAUGGAUGAAUGUCAGAGUGGGUGACAUCAUCAAACUGGAGAACAAUCAGUUUGUGGCAGCUGACCUGCUCCUGUUGUCCAGCAGUGAACCACAUGGCCUCUGCUACAUUGAAACUGCAGAACUAGAUGGCGAGACGAACAUGAAGGUGCGUCAGUCUCUGUCUGUUACCUCAGAGCUGGGAGAUCCUAAUAACCUGGCCCAGUUUGAUGGAGAAGUGGUGUGUGAGCCUCCCAACAACAAGCUUGACCGUUUCUGUGGGACUCUGUAUUGGAAAGACUGCAAAUACCCCCUCAGCAACCAGAACAUGCUGCUUCGCGGCUGCGUACUGCGCAACACAGAGAGCUGCUAUGGCCUUGUAUUUUCGCAGGUUGGUCCUGACACCAAACUGAUGCAGAACAGCGGACGGACUAAGUUCAAGCGCACCAGUAUAGACAGACUGAUGAAUACACUGGUGCUGAUUUUUGGGUUCCUGGUGUGUAUGGGAGUGAUCUUGGCCAUAGGAAAUGCAGUUUGGGAAAAAGAAGUGGGUGCUCUGUUCCAGAGCUUUCUUCCUUGGGACCCUCCAGUGGACAACUUCCUGUUCUCUGCCUUCCUGUCUUUCUGGUCCUAUGUCAUCAUCCUCAACACAGUCGUACCCAUCUCCCUCUAUAUAAUCUGUUAUCCUCAGAGGGUCCAGGCCCUGGACUUCAGUGCGUGGAACCCCUUAGCAGCCCGGGACUUCUGUUUCUACGACCAGUUUCUGUUAGACGCAGUGAUGGAGGGAGAACCAGCAGUGCAUGAAUUCUCCGGGUCUUAUCUCUCUGCCCACACAGUCAUGACUCUCUGCCACACAGUCAUGAGCGAGGAGAAGAGCGAGGGAGAGCUUCUGUAUAAGGCUCAGUCUCCAGAUGAGGGGGCGUUAGUAACAGCUGCACGCAACUUUGGCUUUGUGUUUCGCUCUCGCACACCUGGCACAGUCACCACACAAGAGCUCGGCAAAGCCGUCACAUACACACUCCUCGCCAUCCUGGACUUCAAUAACAUCCGCAAAAGAAUGUCUGUCAUAGUUAGGAAUCCAGAGGGCCGUAUUCGUCUGUACUGUAAGGGCGCAGACACUGUGCUUUUUGAGAGGCUUCACUCUUGCAACCAUGAACUAAUGAAUGUCACUUCAGACCACCUCAACGAGUAUGCAGGUGAUGGCUUACGGACACUCGCAGUGGCCUAUCGGGAUCUGUCUGAGGAGCAGUGGGAGGAGUGGUCAGAGCAUUUCCGUGGUGCUGAUAAAGCCACAGACUGCAGAGAUGACCGGCUGGCUGCAGCCUAUGAGGAGAUCGAACAGGACAUGAUGUUGUUGGGGGCCACGGCUAUAGAAGAUAAACUGCAAGAGGGGGUUCCUGAGACUAUCGCUAUUCUCUCACUGGCUAACAUUAAGAUCUGGGUGCUUACUGGAGACAAACAGGAGACUGCGGUGAAUAUUGGUUAUUCAUGUAAAAUGCUGACAGAUGACAUGACGGAGAUCUUCAUUGUUAAUGGACACACUGUCCAAAGCGUACGUGAAGAACUGAGGUACAAUGGUGAUGUUUGUCCAGUAUGCUCCGCCCCCUCUUUAUUGGAGUCGAUCAGUGGAGAGUUCGCCCUCAUCAUCAGCGGACACAGCUUGGCUCAUGCUUUGGAAGCAGAUAUGGAGCGUGAGUUUUUGGAGACGGCGUGUGCUUGUCGAGCAGUGAUCUGCUGCAGAGUGACUCCUCUUCAGAAAGCUCUGGUGGUGGAGCUGGUUAAACGGCAUAAGAAAGCUGUCACACUCGCAAUCGGAGAUGGAGCCAAUGACGUCAGCAUGAUAAAGACGGCUCACAUUGGCGUGGGCAUCAGCGGACAGGAGGGGAUCCAGGCUGUGCUGGCAUCAGAUUACUCUUUUUCCCAGUUUCGCUUCCUGCAGCGUCUUUUGCUGGUGCACGGACGCUGGUCCUAUCUGCGCAUGUGCCGUUUUCUCUGUUACUUCUUCUACAAGAACUUUGCCUUCACUAUGGUGCACUUCUGGUUCGGAUUCUUCUGUGGAUUCUCAGCGCAGAUUGCUCUGGACACAGGUUAUUGGACGGCUAUAAAUCACUUCUUUAUUUGGGGAUCUUUGGGUACCUACUUCACUAUCCUCUUCGCUAUGCACUCCAGCAUUCUGUUCAAUAUCUUCCCCAAACAGUUCCAUUUCCUUGGAAGUGCUCAUAACACACUCGGACAGCCAGUGGUGUGGUUAACUAUUGCUCUUGCUACCGUCAUCUGCAUUGCUCCAGUCCUUGCUUUCCGCUUUCUCAAACUGGACCUUAAACCUCAGCUCUCAGAUACUGUGCGCCACACUCAACUUGUGCUGCAGAAAAAGCGGAAGCCUGGUGGUCGUGCUGGUCGUGGAGUGGGCGGUGGAUCUCGACGCUCUGGUUAUGCGUUUGCGCAUCAGGAGGGCUUCGGCGAGCUGAUCACAUCGGGAAAAAAUAUGCGCCUGAGCUCGCUUGCUCUCGCCACAUUCGCUUCUCGCCACAGCAGCAGUUGGAUCGAUACCCUUCGCAGAAAAAAACACGCAAACAGCCCUGGUUGGUCUCAGCUCAAAACCGUUCUAAUUAGGAAAACCCUAUUAUUCUUUUUUUUGUGA
rnacentral:lncRNA from 1 species